rnacentral:rRNA from 1 species
GAUUAACGCUGGCGGCGUGCCUAACACAUGCAUGUCGAGCGGCAGCGAGUUUUACACUGAAUUCUGGAAGCUUCUAGUUGAAAGAGAAGAUUUAUUCAAGAAUUUUGUGUAAAAUGUCGGCGAGCGGCGGACGGCUGAGUAACGCGUGGGAACGUACCCCAAAGUGAGGGAUAACGCAUCGAAAGGUGUGCUAAUACCGCAUAUGGUCUUCGGAUUAAAGCCUUCGGGCGCUUUGGGAACGGCCUGCGUAAGAUUAGAUAGUUGGUGGGGUAAUGGCCUACCAAGUCGACGAUCUUUAACUGGUUUGAGAGGAUGAUCAGUCAGACUGGAACUGAGACACGGUCCAGACUCCUACGGGAGGCAGCAGUGAGGAAUCUUCCACAAUGGGCGAAAGCCUGAUGGAGCAACGCCGCGUGCAGGAUGAAGGCCUUCGGGUUGUAAACUGCUUUUAUAAGUGAGGAUUAUGACAGGAACUUAUGAAUAAGGAGCGGCUAACUACGU